rnacentral:rRNA from 1 species
GAUGAACGCUGGCGGCACGCCUAAUACAUGCAAGUCGAACGAGAGGAAGGAAAGCUUGCUUUUCUGAAUCUAGUGGCGAACGGGUGAGUAACACGUAGGUAACCUGCCCAUGUGCCCGGGAUAACUUCUGGAAACGGAUGCUAAAACCGGAUAGGUAGCAGACAAGCAUUUGACUGCUAUUAAAGUGGCUAAGGCCAUGAACAUGGAUGGACCUGCGGUGCAUUAGCUAGUUGGUGAGGUAACGGCCCACCAAGGCGACGAUGCAUAGCCGGCCUGAGAGGGCGGACGGCCACAUUGGGACUGAGACACGGCCCAAACUCCUACGGGAGGCAGCAGUAGGGAAUUUUCGUCAAUGGGGGGAACCCUGAACGAGCAAUGCCGCGUGAGUGAGGAAGGUCUUCGGAUCGUAAAGCUCUGUUGUAAGAGAAAAACGACAUUCAUAGGGAAUGAUGAGUGAGUGAUGGUAUCUUACCAGAAAGUCACGGCUAACUACGCGCCAGCAGCCGCCGUAA